rnacentral:rRNA from 1 species
UAGGGAAUAUUGCACAAUGGAGGAAACUCUGAUGCAGCGACGCCGCGUGAGCGAUGAAGGCUUUCGGGUUGUAAAGCUCUGUGAUAGGGGAAGAUAAUGACGGUACCCUAUCAGAAAGGACCGGCUAACUUCGUGCCAGCAGCCGCGGUAAUACGAGGGGUCCAAGCGUUGUUCGGAAUUACUGGGCGUAAAGCGGGUGUAGGCGGCUAGGUCAGUCGGAUGUGAAAGCCCAGGGCUCAACCCUGGAAGUGCAUCCGAUACUGCCUAGCUUGAAUACUGGAGAGGGAAGUGGAAUUCCUGGUGUAGCGGUGAAAUGCGUAGAUAUCAGGAGGAACAUCGGUGGCGAAGGCGGCUUCCUGGCCAUGUAUUGACGCUCAGACCCGAAAGCGUGGGUAGCAAACAGGAUUAGAUACCCCCGUAGUCC